GGUGAUGACCUCCUCGACGAAGUAGCGUGUGGGGCUGAAGCGGCCGCGCUCACGGAGGAGUAGGGACUUCUUGGAGGCGGCGUUCCCCGGGCCACCGGCAUCGGCGAUCCCCGGGCCGCCGGAGUCGAGGAUCGCCUCUAGGUAGCUGUUGAUCCAGUCGUUUCCGGCCAUCGGUGAGGAGGAGAGAGAGCUCUUGAAGCUUCUAGCGGAAGUGUAUUUAUAUAAA
rnacentral:misc_RNA from 1 species